AAAAAAGUAUCGACACGUUACAAAAAGAAGAAAAGUAGUUAAUUUAACCUCACAGAUAUUUAAGAGUUCUUUGUUGAGUGAGCGGGAAAGGGUGAGUCAUCCAAUACCAUCUUUUGAAGGCGACAAAGGCUGAUAGAGUGAAAUGGACUCGCCGCAGAUCCCCUCGCAGUUAACGGAGGGUUCACGGGCACCAUCUUCUGGUGUCUCAGGCAUAUGACGCGUCAAUUAUCGUGACUCGUAGAACGAGGACAAGAGGCUACAAGAUGGAGGUUCCUCGGGAUACGGGGGCAAGGGGAUUUCUAGAAACCGUCGAAGAGGGCCGAAGCGAUAAUCAAGAGUGCUCGGAGGGUGGACUCACGUGGUGUACGGUGCCGUCGGCGGUUCUGGCAUCUCGCUUGGUCGGCCCUAGGCCGUCUCGUAUGCAGGGAGACGCGCGUCCCGACGCAGGGGGGGACGCCUUUCGCCGCCUCUCGACGUCUCACCUCGCCACGGGUACCCACAAGCAAAUCCCUGAUAAUGGCCACGCGCCCUCGCCCUCCACCUCCACAAUAUAUUCCAAGGGAAGUCUGCGAAAUUCAGGAAACAAGCUUGCCAAUUUUGAUCCAAAUAGACAGCAACCUGUGCAACAAUUUCACGAAAACGCUGGCAAGGGCAUACGUGCUCGCGGUUAACAGAAAAUACGACGACUGUCAUGGCGUCCCUCGCCCACCCCGCAGGAACUUACGCGUUUGGUGCAUCAUUUAGUCGAUUAGUUUUUCAUCGAUUUCUAUGAAAAAAUCACCCGAUAAAUAAACUUGCCAUAACGAAAAACAAAUUUCCAACGAAAUUUUCUGGAAAUAAACCGCCUAAUUGUUAAUAUGGCAAAAUGAAAUUUGUCAAGUGCUCUUUGUUAAUUCAUUCAGUAUGCGCGCGCAGCAUCCGGUUGCGCGCGUCGUUUUAUUACUUCCUGUGUUACAACCCGCCAAAUUAGAAACAUCAAAAUCUAAAAUGUGUGAAUAAUUUUAUUUAAUAAUUUUUAUUUAUCUAAAUUUCUGAUCGAAGUAUUAUGUUUGCUUAGAAGUCAAUUAACAAUAAAAGGAGAUUAAUUUCUGUAAAAAACAAUUGAUACAAACAAUUGAAUUUGUAUAAAUUAUAUAAUUUUACCGCACAGAAAGAAUUGUAAAAAUGAUAAUAUUUUAAACACAGCAACAUUUUAUUGUAAUGUUAUAAUUGUAGAAAAAUAGUUCCUUUGAAAAUGGAAAUUAAUUAAAAAUAUAAAAAGAUGGAUUGAUUAUAUUUAGAUAUAUAUAUGUAUAUAUAUAUAUAUAUAUAUUAUAUUUAUAAUUAUCUUACAUAUUUGCUAGUAAAAUAUUAUUUACAUCAAUUUGUACAUACAGCCGACCAUUCUGGUCUUUUGUGUAACAACAUAUACAGGUAUGUAUACAUACAUGUGUUAUAUCGUAAAUAUUUUGCAAUUUUUAUUUAAUAAUGAUAUGUUGGUGCAUCGAUAAAAAAAUAUUUGUAUUAAAGAUCUAAAACUAUUUUUAUAGACUUACUUCAGACAUUGGUAGUAUAAGGACAUAAUUUCAUAACAUAAUUCAUAUUCUUGCAUAAAAGGAAAUAUUGACUAGUACAGUAAAUUAUAUAAUAAUUAUUAAUUUGUAAUAUAGAAAUUAAAUAAAGAAUAUCAUUUAAACAAAACG